UACGAAGGGGGCUAGCGUUGUUCGGAAUCACUGGGCGUAAAGCGCACGUAGGCGGAUUUGUUAGUCAGGGGUGAAAUCCCGGGGCUCAACCUCGGAACUGCCUUUGAUACUGUGAGUCUCGAGACCGGAAGAGGUGAGUGGAAUUCCUAGUGUAGAGGUGAAAUUCGUAGAUAUUAGGAAGAACACCAGUGGCGAAGGCGGCUCACUGGUCCGGUUCUGACGCUGAGGUGCGAAAGCGUGGGGAGCAAGCAGG
rnacentral:rRNA from 1 species